ensembl:snRNA U2 U2 spliceosomal RNA
AUCCCUUCUUUGGCUAUUGGCUAAGAUAAAACAUAGAAUCUGUUCUUAUCCGUUCAAGUUUGUGAUGUGUUCUCUAUCUGCCUAUAUGGAAUUGAGAGAGAGAUUUGGAGCUUGCUCUGUCUACUCCUUUCCUAGCCUGGAAUUGCAAUACUUCCAGGAACAGUGCAUUUCUU